rnacentral:rRNA from 1 species
AUCACCUUUAGAUGCGAUUUUGUGGAGUGUGAGGAGCUAAUCGCCUUCAUGCCUGUAUAUUCGUGUACUUGGGGUGUACUUAUUCGUGUGGUAAGUUAACAUCAAUUUUGGUUAUCAUAAAAUGACUGGAGGAAUGUAGCUUCGAUUUCGUAUUGAAGUGUUAUAGCCUUCGGUAGAUGUGAUGAACGAGAUUGAGGAUUGCAACGGAUACCCUUCGGGGCUACCUGUCUGGUCUCUGAUCGUUGCUCUGGUGCCGAAAGCUUGCUUACGGUUAUCAAAGUCGAUGGUCAAUAGGUUAGAACGGGUUAAAUUCGUUAAGGAUGUUGACGUAAUGGCUUU